AUACGGAGGGUGCAAGCGUUAUUCGGAAUUACUGGGCGUAAAGCGUGCGUAGGCGGUUUGCUAAGUCAGAUGUGAAAGCCCCGGGCUUAACCUGGGAACUGCAUUUGAUACUGGCAGACUAGAGUAUGAUAGAGGGGGGUAGAAUUCCUGGUGUAGCGGUGAAAUGCGUAGAUAUCAGGAGGAAUACCAGUGGCGAAGGCGGCCCCCUGGAUCAAUACUGACGCUGAGGUACGAAAGCGUGGGGAGCGAACAGGAUUAGAAACCCUAGUAGUCC
rnacentral:rRNA from 1 species